rnacentral:rRNA from 1 species
CUCGUAGGCGGUCUGUUUAGUCGGAUGUGAAAGCCCUCGGCUCAACCGAGGAAUUGCAUUCGAUACUGGCAGGCUAGAGUCUAGCAGAGGGAAGUGGAAUUCCCGGUGUAGCGGUGAAAUGCGCAGAUAUCGGGAAGAACACCGGUGGCGAAGGCGGCUUCCUGGGCUAAGACUGACGCUGAGGAGCGAAAGCUAGGGUAGCAAACA